rnacentral:lncRNA from 1 species
AAAUAUGAAGUUUUAUUAAAAGAAAAAGGGGUGAAAAGAAAAAAGUUUUGUCCAUCUUUGUUCAUCAUAGCUGAAAGUUAGAGAAGAGAAAGGAAAGGAGAAAGCUCUUGAGUAUUUGGUCAUUAGGAGGAGGAAAAUUGAAGGUAAGUUCUUGGUACCUUGCUUCUAUUUUGAGGUUCAUGAGUUCUUCUUGAUUCUACCUUAACUCUUGAAGUAUAUUUUGAUUUUUAGUUGUGUUGUGAGCCUUUAGUCAUGAAUUAAAAUGAAGGAAAUGAUUGUUGUUUCAUGUUCUUUUGAUGAAAAAUGGAAGAUAGGUGAAGUUGAGCCAAACAAAUAAGCAUGCAUGUGCCUUAGAUGUUAAAGGGAAAAAUCAGCUAACAUGUUGUGCUUUAAAAUGAUGAAAUGGAGAUUAUACUUAAGUAAAAUCAUAGAUAUGUGAUGAUUGAUUCGUGAUAUACAUGUUUAAAUAACAUGCAUGCAAGUAUGUGUGAAAGAGUGAUUUGGUAAUAAAUCUGCUUGGGACAACAGCAGUAACGUGACUUUGGAAAAUCACCAUAAAUUGUGGGAGAUGAAUUAGAAGCUGAAUAAAUUAUGUAAUUAAAGCUUAUUGAGUCUAGUUUCUAAUGAAAUAAACAAGAACAUAUUUUGAAUUCUGUACAAUGAUAAAUUUGAUUCGUAAUGAAGAGUGGUCAGAUUAGUCAAACAGUGAAACAUGAGAAACUUUAAGAAAAAUCUGGUAUUAAUUGGCCAUACCAAAAAUUCUGAAAAUUUUAUGGAUAAAAGAUAUACGAGUGUAUUUUCAGGGAAAAUUAACGGCACUUGAUUUGGAGUUUCGUAGCUCCAGUUAUAAAUAAUUUAGUGACUGUUGCUCAGGAAGACAGCUUGCAGUGAAAUUAUGAUUAUGUGGUAAACAUUGACAAAAAUUUGUUAAUGAGUUGCUUAUUGAUUUCUUAUAAGCUUACUAUGAUCUGUAGGUGUGGUUGGCCGAAUAUUGUAAGGGGUUAAUACGUACUUUGUAUUUGAAUAGUUAGAUUAACGUGUUGUAAUCCAAUUGUAGGUGGUUCGUGUGUGGAUCUCGUCAGCAUAUCGUCGCAAACAGGUGUGUAACUGACACCCUCUCAUAGACUAGAUUGGCAAAAGCCAAAAAGCCGAAAUGCCGAAAAGUCGGUAUUUUGGGAAUUUGCAAGUGUGCGAAUGCUCGUAAGAUAGUUGGGUUUGUAUAUUUGGUAAUCUAAAGUAAUAAACUGCAGUACGCACGAUUUCGUACAUUUUGAUAAUUUGGGCGUAAUGGGCCAAAGAUCGGGUUCAUGGGCCAACGGGCCCAAUUCGGUAAGUAUGCGCGGUAAGUGUUCUGAUAGUACGUAAAUAGUUAGGAUAUGCAUGAAAACCCUAAAAGUAGCUAAAUUACUAUAAUACCCCUAUGUAUGAAAAAUUGCUGUUAUACCCCUAGGUGCAAAAUUACCGUUAUACCCCUAGGGUUAAUUUUGACUGAAAAGCAUGACGAUCUGAUUCUGUAUGAUGUAUGCCAUGAUUAUAUAUCUGUUGCAUGGGGACAUGGGUUAUAUUAUGGAGGAAGCGUUCUGGUGGCUAUGCCACAAAUAUCUGAUCUGGUGGCUCUGCCACAAAUAUCUGAUCUGGUGGCUCUAUCACAUAUAUCUGUUCUGGUGGCUCUGCCACGAUUAUCUGUAUCUGGUGACUCUAUCACAUUAUCUGUUCUGGCAGCCAUGCUGCAAAUUCUGUGGUGUGUAGCGGUUGGGUGGUCGAGUUGUCUCCCCACACGGUGUAAGGUUGGUACGGGGGUGUAUACGGUUGGAUAUGGUUGGGUUUCUGCAUAAACAUGUAAUAUCUGUUCUGUUCUGUUAUGGGCCUAUGGGCUUUAUUCUGAAUUCUGUUCUGGGCUAAGGCCAACUUAUUCUAUUUCUGUGGUUUAAGCUGAUAUAGGCUAUGGUUGGGUUAUUUUACACACUGAGUUUCCCCAAACUCACCCCUUUUAUUUUCAUCCACGCAGGAAAUCCCCAACCAUAGUGGGCUUGGAGCUGUGAGGGAAUUCGGAGUGGCCACCCGUUCUGAAAGUUUGAUUUUCUUCUGGUGAACUGGACAUCCUUUUAUUUACGUUUGAAGUUUUGGGUUUUCAAAUGUAAUAAGGCCGCUUAAUUAUUUUUGAUGGUUUUAAUAUGUAUUACUAAGAUAGGUAUUACUUAUUUUAACUGUCGAAAUUGGAUAGCUUUAGGGCGCGUUUUCAAAAACAACAAUUGAUUUCAAAAUAACACGACAACAAGCAAAGCUUCCGCAAUGAAAGUAUUUUCCAAAAUUAAUCACUUUUCCUAAAAAUGACUUAAUCAAAUCGGUUUCCUAGAAAUAUCCAUGACAUUAAGGUGUGGCAAUGGCGGUAUGCAUGUCUAGGAGUGGAUCCGAAAGGAGCUUGGUACUUAAGCAGUCUGAUGGACUCACCACCUCUUUUCCGGUUUCCUACCUGGUGCACAGCUUCUAUUCACUUUAACCCUUAAUGAAUUAAUCUUUUGAACAUCAAGUACGAUUUUCUGGACUUAGAAUGGAAAAUUUUUUAACGUUUUUGAUGUGGCAUGCCGGAUCCGGCCAUAACUUCUGGGCCGAGUUUGGGGUGCUACAUUUAGUGGUAUCAGAGCCUAGGUUGCAACAACUCGGCUGUGGAAUGGGUUUACAAAAACAAAGAUUUUCAAAAACGAAAAUUUUAUAAAGAAUGCGAAAAACUCGAUUUUUAAAAUUUAGAUCUUAAGAACGUGGCAUUCCGAAUCUCCGGCUCAAGCCUGUAAGUAUUACUCUGAACUCUUCUGAAUAUUUUUUUGAAUUAUCUGUCUGUACUAAAACCCUACUAGGAUACUCUAGAUAGGAUUAUUCUGAAACCAUAGGAAAAUCUGAUAAGAGACUGAAACUGUAGCUAGACUUCGAUUCUGCGAAAAUAAACUUUGAAUUACUGUCUGAUUCAAAAAACAUCUGUAAUAAACACUGGAAUAUUGAAUUGAUGCAUAAAAAUUUGUAAUCAAGAUAAAUCGAUAUGAGUACGAGAGCUACUCGGGGAAGAGGUCGUGGUCGAGGCCGAGGUAGUACUCAAGCUGGAUUUUCGUUUUCUGAACACAUACCCACUGGAGUAGCACGACCACCACUGACGGAUGAGAAUGGGCCGUAUGAUAGAGCUGCCGAGGAUGAUGCCCUAUCACAGGCAAUGCUUCGGGUUCUGAAAAGGGUUGCCGGAGCAAGUUCGGGCAACGAAAUUCAGGGAUCUAUUUCUGAAUGACUUCGGAACUAACGGAAUGGAGAUCUUUAAGGGCGUGUCUGAUAUAGCCUCGAAUGUGGCGGAAUAUUGGUUGGAGGCCACAGAAUGGAUUAUGGACGACUUGGACUGCUCUGAGGAGAUUGUGAGUGGGGUAUCUGUACUAAGUCCCUUGGGUCACUCGGUUAGGGUAGACAAACUGUAUAGAGAUGUACCCUUAAAAACUCAAGGUAAGAUUUUCCCUGGAGAUCUGAUGGAGUUACCGUUCGGAGAGUUUGAUCUCAUUUUGGGAAUGGACUGGCUAGUUAAGCAUAAAGCGACUCUGGACUGUGCUGCUAAACGAAUGGUGUUAAGGACCACAAAGGAUGAGGGGGUUAUAGUGAUAGGUGAGCGAAGGGAUUAUUUGUCCAAUGUGGUGUCGGCUUUAAGAGCCGAAAAGUGGAUUCGAAAAGGUUGUGAGGCCUAUUUGACAUUUGUAAGUCAGUCAGAAGAGGAGGGACUGACAGUGGAUAAGGUUAGGACCGUAAAGGAGUUCCAAGAUGUUUUUCCGGAGGAGCUUCCAAGAUUGCCUCCGAAUCGAGAAGUUGAGUUUGAAAUAGACUUGUUGCCUGGAACGGCGCCCGUGUCCAUCACACCGUAUAGGAUGGCACCGAAGGAGUUAGUGGAGUUAAAGGCUCAAAUUCAAGAGUUGUUGGAUAGGGACUUCAUUAGGCCAAGCGUGUCUCUAUGGGGAGCACCGGUGCUAUUUGUGAAGAAAAAGGACGGGACAAUGCGCAUGUGCAUCGAUUACCGCCAGUUGAACAAAUUGACGAUAAAGAACAAAUACCCUCUGCCAAGGAUUGAUGAUUUAUUUGACCAACUUAGAGGAGCUUCGGUAUUUUCCAAGAUUGACCUUCGAUCUAGAUACCAUCAGUUAAGGGUAAAAGAAGUGGAUAUUCAUAAGACAGCAUUCAGGACUCGAUAUGGUCAUUACGAGUUCCUGGUUAUGCCGUUUGGGUUGACGAACGCACCUGCCGCUUUCAUGGAUCUGAUGAAUCAAGUGUUCCAACCUUACUUGGACCGAUUUGUGGUAGUUUUUAUCGAUGAUAUUCUAGUAUACUCAGAAACCGAGGAGAAACAUGAGGAGCAUCUACAUAUUGUGCUGCAAGUGCUGAGAGAGAAUGAAUUGUAUGCAAAGUUUAGUAAGUGUGAAUUUUGGUUGCGAGAAAUGGCCUUUCUAGGUCAUGUGGUUUCUGCUGAAGGAAUUAGAGUGGAUCCUCGAAAAGUUGAGGCAGUUCUGGGAUGGAAGCCACCAAAAUCAGUAUCGGAAAUUCGGAGUUUUCUGGGUUUGGCAGGCUAUUACCGAAGGUUCGUAGAAGGAUUUUCUCUGAUUGCUGCACCAUUGACGAAACUGUUAAGAAAAGGGGUAGCAUUUGUCUGGACUGAGAGUCAGCAAAAAGCUUUUGACCAUUUGAAAAAGGUAUUGACUGAAGCACCAGUGUUGAUUCAACCGGAGUCUGGGAAGGACUUCACUGUGUACAGCGAUGCGUCACAUGUGGGGUUAGGAUGUGUACUGAUGCAAGAGGGUAAGGUGGUCGCUUAUGCUUCGCGACAGCUUAAGUCUCAUGAAGCAAACUACCCUACGCACGACUUAGAGCUAGCAGUAGUGAUCUUCGCGUUGAAAAUCUGGAGACAUUACUUAUAUGGAGAAAAGUGUAUCAUAUACACGGACCAUAAGAGCCUAAAGUAUCUGUUAACUCAGAAGGAGUUAAACCUUAGGCAACGAAGAUGGGUAGAGUUGCUUAAGGAUUACGACUGUUCGAUUGAGUACCACCCAGGUAAGGCUAACGUGGUGGCUGAUGCAUUGAGUCGAAGGGUUGUUUCUGAUUUGAGAGCCUUGUUUGCACGUUUGAGUCUGUUUGAUGAUGGAAGUCUGUUAGCAGAAUUGCAAGUGAGGCCUAUUUGGACUGAGCAGAUUAAAAAAAAACAGUUGAAGGAUAACUCGUUGGUCCUUCGGUUUCAGCAAGUUGAGAAGGGUGAGAAUGAGGAUUUUGGACUGAAUACUGAAGGAGUUUUAUGCUUCCGAGGAAGAAUUUGUAUUCCGAAGGAUUCUGACUUGAGACAGUCAAUAUUGAAGGAAGCUCAUGGAGGACUUUGUGCCAUGCAUCCUGGAGGGAAUAAGUUGUAUCACGACUUGCGAGAACUGUACUGGUGGCCUAGGCUUAAACGAGAAGUAACGGAGUUCGUGGGGAAAUGUAUGACAUGCCAGCAAGUGAAAGCUGAACAUCAAUUUCCUUCUGGAUUACUGCAACCGGUGAAAAUUCCAUUGUGGAAGUGGGAGAGAGUCACUAUGGACUUUGUCAGUGGGCUACCUUUGACACCCACCAAGAAAGAUUCUGUGUGGGUAGUGGUGGAUAGGUUAACAAAAUCUUUCCAUUUCAUACCAGUCGUACUGAUUACUCCCUGCAAAAGUUGGCUAGGUUGUAUGUGGCAGAGAUAGUACGACUACAUGGAGUGCCAGUGUCGAUUAUUUCCGACCGAGACCCUAGGUUUACAUCUCGGUUCUGGAAGAAGUUGCAGGAGGCAUUGGGUACACGUUUGGAUUUCAGUACUGCCUUUCACCCACAGACAGAUGGACAGUCGGAGAGGGUUAUUCAGAUUUUGGAGGAUAUGUUAAAGGGUUGUAUCAUCGAUUUUCGUGGGAGUUGGGAGGACUACUUGCGAUUGGCGGAGUUUGCAUACAAUAACAGCUACCAAGCAAGUAUUCAGAUGGCUCCAUAUGAGGCACUUUAUGGGCGGAGAUGUCGUACGCCUACGUGUUGGACAGAGUUGGGUGAACGACAAGUGCUUGGAUCGGAGAUGGUGGCAGAUACUGAAAGUAAGGUUAAGUUGAUAAGAGAUCGAUUAAAGGAGGCAUCUGAUAGACAGAAGUCAUAUGCGGACCUAAAGCGCAAAGAGAUAGAGUUCACGGUUGGGGAUAUGGUUUUCUUAAAGGUUUCACUUUGGAAGAAGAUCUUGAGAUUCGGAAAGAAAGGUAAAUUGAGUCCGCGGUUUAUAGGGCCUUAUUGAGUUCUUAAGCGGGUAGGGCCAGUAGCGUAUCAGUUAGAAUUACCACCAGAGUUAGACAGAAUCCAUGACGUUUUUCAUGUGUCUAUGUUAAGACGAUAUCGGUCGGAUCCCUCACAUGUUGUGCCAGUGGAGGAGAUUGAAGUAAGGACUGAUUUGACCUUUGAGGAAGAACCCAUACAAAUUUUAGAUCGAGAGGUUAAAGUUCUAAGAAGGAAGUCGGUUCCGUUGGUAAAAGUACUGUGGCGUAAUCAUGGAAGGGAAGAAGCUACUUGGGAAUCAGAAGAGACUAUGCGUCAACAAUACCCUCAACUAUUUGAAUCAGGUAAAUUUCGAGGCCGAAAUUUCUUUAAGGGGGGUAGAGUUGUAACGCCCCAAUUUUCGAGAAUUCUGUGAAUGUUGGCAUAGGUUUAAUUAUGUUAGUGGGUCUCUAGAAAGCCCAAACUUAAUAUAGAACCCGACAAUUUUAGUUAUUUUUUGUUCUAUAAGAAAAAGGGGGUGAAAUUAUGAAAUAGGACCUAUGUGAAAAUGUUUGAAAAUGCUAUAGGCUAAAUUGAAGUGGCCAAAUAAAUAGGAGUGCAAAAUAGGAGGAUUUGCAUGACAAACCUCCUAUUUUACAUGAAGUGGCCAGCCAUCAUGUGGUUGUAGACAAAAUGUACACUUGAUAUCCAUAAUUUAUCGUACAAAUUGAUACAAAUUGAUAAUAGGUUAGGUAAAUGUUCAAUGAUAAUAGGUUAGGUAAAUGUUCCAUGAUAAUGGGUUAGGUAAAUGUUUCAUGAUAAUGGGUUAGGUAAAUGUUUCAUGAUAAGAAUUUCAUGUCUUUUGUAUUAAAGAAUUAAAUUGAUGAAAUAUGAAGUUUUAUUAAAAGAAAAAGGGGUGAAAAGAACAAAGUUUUGUCCAUCUUUGUUCAUCAUAGCUGAAAGUUAGAGAAGAGAAAGGAGAGGAGAAAGCUCUUGAGUAUUUGGUCAUUAGGAGGAGGAAAAUUGAAGGUAAGUUCUUGGUACAUUGCUUCUAUUUUGAGGUUCAUGAGUUCUUCUUGAUUCUACCUUAACUCUUGAAGUAUAUUUUGAUUUUUAGUUGUGUUGUGAGCAUUUAGUCAUGAAUUAAAAUGAAGGAAAUGGUUGUUGUUUCAUGUUCUUUUGAUGAAAAAUGGAAGAUAGGUGAAGUUGAGCCAAACAAAUAAGCAUGCAUGUGCCUUAGAUGUUAAAGGGAAAAAUCAGCUAACAUGUUGUGCUUUAAAAUGAUGAAAUGGAGAUUAUACUUAAGUAAAAUCAUAGAUAUGUGAUGAUUGAUUGGUGAUAUACAUGUUUAAAUAACAUGCAUGCAAGGUAUGUGUGAAAGAGUGAUUUGGUAAUAAAUUUGCUUGGGACAGCAGUAGUAACGUGACUUUGGAAAAUCACCAUAAAUUGUGGGAGAUGAAUUAGAAGCUGAAUAAAUUAUGUAAUUAAAGCUUAUUGAGUCUAGUUUCUAAUGAAAUAAACAAGAACAUAUUUUGAAUUCUGUACAAUGAUAAAUUUGAUUCGUAAUGAAGAGUGGUCAGAUUAGUCAAACAGUGAAACAUGGGAAACUUUAAGAAAAAUCUGGUAUUAAUUGGCCAUACCAAAAAUUCUGAAAAUUUUAUGGAUAAAAGAUAUACGAGUUUAUUUUCAGGGAAAAUUAACGGCACUUGAUUUGGAGUUUCGUAGCUCCAGUUAUAAAUAAUUUAGUGACUGUUGCUCAGGAAGACAGCUUGCAGUGAAAUUAUGAUUAUGUGGUAAAUAUUGACAAAAAUUUGUUAAUGAGUUGCUUAUUGAUUUCUUAUAAGCUUACUAUGAUCUGUAGGUGUGGUUGGCCGAAUAUUGUAAGGGGUUAAUACGUAGUUUGUAUUUGAAUAGUUAGAUUAACGUGUUAGUAAUCCAAUUGUAGACGGUUCGUGUGUGGAUCUCGUCAGCAUAUCGUCGCAAACAGGUGUGUAACUGACACCCUCUCAUAGACUAGAUUGGCAAAAGCCGAAAAGCUGAAAUGCCGAAAAGUCGGUAUUUUGGGAAUUUGCGAGUGUGCAAAUGCUCGUAAGAUAGUUGAGUUUGUAUAUUUGGUAAUCUAAAGUAAUAAACUGCAGUACGCGCGAUUUCGUACAUUUUGAUAAUUUGAGCUUAAUGGGCCAAAGAUCGGGUUCAUGGGCCAACGGGCCCAAUUCGGUAAGUAUGCGCGGUAAGUGUUCUGAUAGUACGUAAAUAGUUAGGAUAUGCAUGAAAACCCUAAAAGUAGCUAAAUUACUAUAAUACCCCUAUGUAUGAAAAAUUGCUGUUAUACCCCUAGGUGCAAAAUUACCGUUAUACCCCUAGGGUUAAUUUUGACUGAAAAGUAUGACAAUCUGAUUCUGUAUGAUGUAUGCCAUGAUUAUAUAUCUGUUGCAUGGGGACAUGGGUUAUAUUAUGGAGGAAGCGUUCUGGUGGCUAUGCCACAAAUAUCUGAUCUGGUGGCUCUGCCACAUAUAUCUGUUCUGGUGGCUCUGCCACGAUUAUCUGUAUCUGGUGACUCUGUCACAUUAUCUGUUCUGGCAGCCAUGCUGCAAAUUCUGUGGUGUGUAGCGGUUGGAUGGGUUGAGUUGUCUCCCCACACGGUGUAAGGUUGGUACGGGGGUGUAUACGGUUGGAUAUGGUUGGGUUUCUGCAUAAACAUGUAAUAUCUGUUCUGUUCUGUUAUGGGCCUAUGGGCUUUAUUCUGAAUUCUGUUCUAGGCUAAGGCCAACUUAUUCUAUUUCUGUGGUUUGAGCUGAUAUAGGCUAUGGUUGGGUUAUUUUACACACUGAGUUUCCCCAAACUCACCCCUUUUAUUUUCAUCCACGCAGGAAAUCCCCAACCAUAGUGGGCUUGGAGCUGUGAGGGAAUUCGGAGUGGCCACCCGUUCUGAAAGUUUGAUUUUCUUCUGGUGAACUGGACAUCCUUUUAUUUACGUUUGAAGUUUUGGGUUUUCAAAUGUAAUAAGGCCGCUUAAUUAUUUUUGAUGGUUUUAAUAUGUAUUACUAAGAUAGGUAUUACUUAUUUUAACUGUCAAAAUUGGAUAGCUUUAGGGCGCGUUUUCAAAAACAACAAUUGAUUUCAAAAUAACACGACAAUAAGCAAAGCUUCCGCAAUGAAAGUAUUUUCCAAAAUUAAUCACUUUUCCUAAAAAUGACUUAAUCAAAUCGGUUUCCUAGAAAUAUCCAUGACAUUAAGGUGUGGCAAUGGCGGUAUGCAUGUCUAGGAUUGGAUCCGAAGAGAGCUUGGUACUUAAGCAGUCCGAUGGACUCACCACCUCUUUUCCGGUUUCCUACCUGGUGCACAGCUUCCAUUCACUUUAACCUUUAAUGAAUUAAUCUUUUGAACAUCAAGUACGAUUUUCUGGACUUAGAAUGGAAAAUUUUUUAACGUUUUUGAUGUGGCAUGCCGGAUCCGGCCAUAACUUCUGGGCCGGGUUUGGGGUGCUACAUGGUGUGUAGGGCUGGGUGGGUGUUUUAAACCCCACAUGGUGUGCAGGGAUGGUCGGAGAUAGUGUGUAGAGGAUGGGGGUAGGAUUCUUAUUUCUGAUUUCUGAUUCUGAUUUGCACAUCUGUAUCUGUAUCUGAAAUGGGUGUGGGCUCUAAUUUGUAUCUGUUUGAUGUAUGAUAAUCUGUAUGUUUGCAUGUCUAAUUCUAUUGGGUUACACACUGAGUUUAUAUAAACUGACCCCUUUUCUGUUUGAUUUUGUACAGGUAAUUCACAGAGUUAGGCGGAUCGAUGGAGCGGAGAACUCGACGGUGACCUAUCGCUAUUACUGUUUUAUUUUGUUUUAUGGUCUUGUUUAAGUUUUGGCGUUGAUAUUUGAAAGGUUGUAUUUUUUGGGACUCUCUGGACUAUUUUACACUGUUUGAUUUGGUUAUGGGUUUUUGGAAUUAACUUGCUUAUAACUAUGAUGGUUUUACCUAAAACAUGAUUUUCUAAAAAUACGAAUUGUUUUCCUCAAACACGACGAUUUCUUAAGCUUCCGCUAAAAUGAUACGUUUUAAGGCAAGUCGACUAAUUGAAUAUAUGUUUUGAAUUAAAUGAAAGCAAUUAAGGGUUUAUAAGCUUAAUUUUUUUAUAGAGUUAGCUCUAUUUUCAAAAUCCCUUCCAUGUGACAUCGCCAGAUUCGGCCAUAACAUCUAGGUCAGGUUUGGGGUGUUACAAUCUAGGUAUUGUCAUGUCUGAUCACCUAAAAUUUUGUUUUCAAACAGACAAAAAGCCCUAGUGCACUAAAACAUUGGGUAACCGAAUUACCUCCCAACAGCAUUCACAACCCACAAGAGUCCAAAAAGUGGAAGCGAUUAAUGGAAUUUGGGACCAAGUCCUGGUGCAAGAUGCUUCUAGUCCAUCCCUGUAUUGAUUGUCAUGUAUCACACCUUGAAUUGGUCUGUU